rnacentral:rRNA from 1 species
ACGGAGGAUCCGAGCGUUAUCCGGAUUUAUUGGGUUUAAAGGGUGCGUAGGUGGUUUAAUAAGUCAGCGGUGAAAGUUUGCAGCUUAACUGUAAAAAUGCCGUUGAAACUGUUAGACUUGAGUGUAAAUGAGGUAGACGGAAUGCGUGGUGUAGCAGUGAAAUGCGUAGAUAUGCCGCGGAACACCGAUGGCGAAGGCAACCCACCGGGCUAGAACUGACACUGAUGCACGAAAGCGUGGGGAUCAAACAG